rnacentral:rRNA from 1 species
AGUGGCGAACGGGUGAGUAACACGUAGGAAUCUACCCUUAAGACGGGGACAACCCAGGGAAACUUGGGCUAAUACCGGAUGAGAGUGCGAGAGAUUGCAUUUAAAAGGAUGGCGAAAGUUGUCGCUUAGGGAUGAGCCUGCGGUCUAUUAGUUAGUUGGUGAGGUAAGAGCUCACCAAGGCGAUGAUAGAUAGGCGGCCUUAACGGGUGGUCGCCCACACUGGGAUUGAGAUACGGCCCAGACUCCUACGGGAGGCAGCAGUCGAGAAUAGUCUACAAUGGCCGGAAGGUGAUAGUGCGACGCCGCGUGAACGAGGGAGCCCUUCGGGGUGUAAAGUUCUUUUCUAUACGAGCAGUGCUAUAUAUAUGGAUAGUAUAUAUAGAGGGAUAGUAGUAUAGGAAUAAGCAACGGCUAACUCCGUGCCAGCAGCCGCGGUAACACGGGGGUUGCGAGCGUUGUCCGGAAUUACUAGGCGUAAAGGGCAGGUAGGCGGAUCUACGAGUUUUUUGUUAAAUGCACUGUUCAACUGUAGUAGAGCAGGAGAUACUGUAGGUCUGGAAUGCGGUAGGGGAAGACAGAAUUCCUGGUGUAGCGGUGGAAUGCGCAGAGAUCAGGAGGAAUACCGAAGGCGAAGGCAGUCUUCUAGGCCGUAAUUGACGCUUAACUGCGAAGGUGUGGGGAUCAAUCAGGAUUAGAUACCCUGGUAGUCCACACAGUAAACGAUAAUCACUAGAUGUCGGGUUCUAGAUGGAUUCGGUGUCGGAGCAAACGCGAUAAGUGAUUCGCCUGGGGAGUACGAUCGCAAGGUUGAAACUCAAAGGAAUUGACGGGGGCCCGCACAAGCGGUGGAGCAUGUGGUUUAAUUCGAGGCAACGCGAAGAACCUUACCCGGUUUUGACAUCCACGGGAGGCUUCAGAGAUGGAGCUGUGCCGGCGUAAGCUGGAGCCGUGAGACAGGUGCUGCAUGGCUGUCGUCAGCUCGUGUCGUGAGAUGUUGGGUUAAGUCCCGCAACGAGCGCAACCCUUGCCUUCAGUUACCAUCAUUAAGUUGGGGACUCUGGAGGGACCGCUGCGGUAACAACGCAGAGGAAGAUGGGGACGACGUCAAGUCAUCAUGGUCCUUAUGGCCGGGGCUACACACGUGCUACAAUGGCAGUUACAGAGGGAAGCGAUUCAGUAAUGAGGAGCGAAACUCAGAAAAGUGCCGCAGUUCGGAUUGAGGUCUGCAACUCGGCCUCAUGAAGUCGGAAUCGUUUGUAAUCGCGCAACAUCAUGGCGCGGUGAAUACGUUCCCGGGCC